rnacentral:lncRNA from 1 species
GCUGGAUCUUGGUGCUUUAAGUGACAUCACCGGAACACUAUUGUUCUUCAUCUAUUGGACUCUGCUUUUUAUUGUGUUGGCUGCAUCCUCAGGCAUAUUCUCCCACUAUAGUAAGAGUCUUCCUCACAUUUCCAGAUUUACAUCACAAAGAGAGUUUGUCCUUCACCAUAGUUCCAGAAGUUCCAGAAUUUUCGUUGGACUCGGGCUGACUUCAGUCACAUCCCAAAAACACCCACUGUGUGAUGGCACACACAGUGUUUCAGUUGGCCGGACCGAGGUAAAAUGAUCUCCUCUAGAACCAAAGGUGGAGUCAGAACACAGAGUGAGGAGAGACUGAUUUCUAAAGGAAAACCAAGAGUCAGCUACAGAAUAGAAGGGAAAUGGAUUUUGGAAGCCCUGAAAAAACAGAAUUAUGACUUGGAAGGUUCAUGUGAGGUGAAGGAGAACAAGAAGAAAUAGACAUCAAGUUGAGAUGCCGUGCCAAACAUCUGGAAGAGGGAAUGAGAGCAUUAUGGGAAAACAGAUGGAGGGAAGCUUGGCCAGAUAAAAUUAAAGGCAACGCCGCUCAG